UACGAAGGGGGCUAGCGUUGCUCGGAAUUACUGGGCGUAAAGCGCACGUAGGCGGCUCUUUAAGUCGGGGGUGAAAUCCUGGAGCUCAACUCCAGAACUGCCUUCGAUACUGAAGAGCUCGAGUCCGGGAGAGGUGAGUGGAACUGCGAGUGUAGAGGUGAAAUCGUAGGUAUUCGCAAGAACACCAGUGGCGAAGGCGGCUCACUGGCCCGGUACUGACGCUGAGGUGACGAAGCGUGGGGAGCGAACAGG
rnacentral:rRNA from 1 species